rnacentral:lncRNA from 1 species
CACAAACUUAAUUAUCAUUUUAAAUUUAUCAGAUAGCUCAGUGGACUAACACAUGCCCAUAAAUUCAAAACAAGACGUAUUCUGUCAGCACAUUCCUCGGAAACAUACUAUUAUUCCACCAAAUUCAAAAACCAGAAAGCAUAUUCUCAUGUCUUCUUCAACGAAACCGGACAUAGUGCAACACUCGCCUAGCAAACUAAAUAAAUAAGCGGCAACUCACACGACUAAGCAAAGUCUCUCCCUCCAAUAUCCCUAGGGGGAAUUAUUUUUUGGGCUAGAAACGAAAAGUUAAGGAUUCACCAGGACUCAAUUGCUACCCUGACGCAACUCUGGGCGCACAAAAUCUGCAUCUGGUGGCACUGAAAUGUCAACAGUUGGUCUCAACUGAGCACAGACUUCAAUGGACUGGAUCAGAAAGGAAGUUGUUGAUGAGAUCCCCAUUGAUGGGGGCAUCAUUGUCCACUGCCACCAAGGCUUGUUGUGUCAGGAUGUAAUCAAAACGAGGGGCCCAUUUCCUUGAUCCCAAAUGGGCUGUGGUAGAGCAGUUGUCCACUAUAAAUGAAGCUCCACGAGCAUGCAUGAAUGGAUUCAAUGAAUCCACUGACUCAAUCACACUUUCAUUGAUGAUCUCAGAGUAGGAGUGCCCUUUCUUCCUCAGGAUCUCAAUCUGGAAUUUUUAAAUCCAAAGAGAAGGGUAUCACAAAAUCGAUGUAAGUGAAGGAUUUCAGUCUACAAACUUUAUAUCCCACAAGAAUCACUUCAAAAAGUUCAGUAUAUAAGGAUUUGGUGAAACCACAGUGUUCAAGCAACCAGUGGGGAUGAAUAAAUGCUUGAAAUAUUAAAAAUGAUAUAAACUGAUUUUCCUUUUUCAAGACUCAAGUUAAAGAAUUAUUUCAUUGCACAGGGCAGAUCAUCAUCAUACUGUUGAGAAUGUCAAAUAAAACGACAUUGAAUGAAGUUUUCAAAGACAUAAUCCGCACUUGUCAAAGAGAUAAUCUAUACUUGUCAAAAACACGAUCCGCGCCGAACGGAUUGACACAUUUCCUUCCGUAUUCACAUAUGUAAUCUUUGAAAAAAUGUAGGCUAUGCAUCUAUAAAUAACUCUCAAUGUAUAAUGUUUUAUUUAAAAAAUGAAAACAAGUUUCUUCAUGGUAUCAGAGCCAUGAAUACGCUCAAGUUUCUUCAAGUUUCGUUGCUCUGUUUGUAACAAAAACAGAGGAAACCAAAUUCUUCCCACAACCAUUUUUCCCACCAUUUUCUUCCUUAAAACCAUUCCUACCAUUACAGAAAUCCACGCCGAUCAAGAAACAAGCCACCCAUACGUAAAAAAGUUGAGUUUACAAAUUUAUCAACAAUCCCAUAAAUUUUCCAAGAGUGUGUUCCUCAAAAACUAAGAAUACCAUCAAAUUUCUCAGUUUCCAAUAAGCAAAUUGUAAAAUUUUUGCAUUUAAACACAUGCCCACGCUCUUCCACGCGCCACCCGAAACCACGGCCAGUCAACCAUGUGCCUCUAUCAUCUUUCACGUGCUUUCACGCACUCCAGAGGUUAAAGAAGACUUCAACUGACAUGUCGUUUUUAUCUCCAGAGUGCAGCAGUCUUAAAACGACGUGUCGUUUUUUAGUACAUUAAAACCGACAUGUCGUUUGUAAAGUAGAGACAAAACGAUGUGACGUUUAAUCUCCAAAAGUGCGGCAGUCCUAAAACAACAUGUCGUGUCUAUUCCAUUAGAACCGACAUAUCGUUUCGUCAAGCAGAGGCCAAACGACUUGUCGUUUUUUGAUCUAAAAACUAACCGUCUAACUCCUUAAUAUCAAAAUUGCUAUCUGUGUAGGGUAAGUCAUUGUUAUACAAAUAAAAUCUCCCUGGACACUUUCAGUUACUUGUUCCUAUCUCAGUAACCAACAAAUUGCCUACACAUGUCAAAUUAACAGAAAUUGUGUAGAAACGCCACUUAAAAGACUGUUAUCAUUGCCUUUCAAAUAUUUAAGCCUGGUGAUGCACAAACUUAAUUGUCAUUUUAAAUUUAUCAGAUAGCUCAGUGGACUAACACAUGCCCAUAAAAUCAAAACAACACAUAUUCUGUCAGCACAUUCCGCGGAAACAUACUAUUAUUCCACCAAAUUCAAAAACCAGAAAGCAUAUUCUCAUGUCUUCUUCAACCAAACCGGACAUAGUGCAACACUCACCCAGCAAAACUAAAUAAAGAAGCAGCAACUCACACGACUAAGCAAAGUCUCUACCUCCAAUAUCCCUAGGGGGAAUUAUUUUUUGGGCUAGAAACAAAAAAAUUAAGGAUUCACCAGGACUCAAUUGCUACCCUGACGCAACUCUGGGCGCACAAAAUCUGCAUCUGGUGGCACUGAAAUGUCAACAGUUGGUCUCAACUGAGCACAGACUUCAAUGGACUGGAUCAGAAAGGAAGUUGUUGAUGAGAUCCCCAUUGAUGGGGGCAUCAUUGUCCACUGCCACCAAGGCUUGUUGUGUCAGGAUGUAAUCAAAACGAGGGGCCCAUUUCCUUGAUCCCAAACGGGCUGUGGUAGAGCAGUUGUCCACCAUAAAUGAAACUCCACGAGCAUGCAUGAAUGGAUUCAAUGAAUCCACUGACUCAAUCACACUUUCAUUGAUGAUCUCAGAGUAGGAGUGCCCUUUCUUCCUCAGGAUCUCAAUCUGGAAUUUUUAAAUCCAAAGAGAAGGGUAUCACAAAAUCGAUGUAAGUGAAGGAUUUCAGUCUACAAACUUUAUAUCCCACAAGAAUCACUUCAAAAAGUUCAGUAUAUAAGGAUUUGGUGAAACCACAGUGUUCAAGCAACCAGUGGGGAUGAAUAAAUGCUUGAAAUAUUAAAAAUGAUAUAAACUGAUUUUCCUUUUUCAAGACUCAAGUUAAAGAAUUAUUUCAUUGCACAGGGCAGAUCAUCAUCAUACUGUUGAGAAUGUCAAAUAAAACGACAUUGAAUGAAGUUUUCAAAGACAUAAUCCGCACUUGUCAAAGAGAUAAUCUAUACUUGUCAAAAACACGAUCCGCGCCGAACGGAUUGACACAUUUCCUUCCGUAUUCACAUAUGUAAUCUUUGAAAAAAUGUAGGCUAUGCAUCUAUAAAUAACUC